CAACUUUUAAAAACCCUUAAAGCAAAAGGCGUCUCUGUGUUUGCUUUGAGAGCAACAGUUAAUCGCGGGUGGAGCGGCCCAGGAGGCAGCCUGGAGGAGCAGGGCAGGCACCUGAAGAGGAAAUGGAAAUCAGAUGGGUUUACCCAAUUCUCACUCCCCAUGAGAAGACAACAGACAGUUGCUGAGAAAUAUAAAGAGUGUUUGCCACCCCAAUGUUUUAUCCAGUAUCUGGAAAUUUGCCUAUCUGAUAUGUGAAAAAAGAGUCAUGUAGGAUCUUGGUUUGGUAACCAGUGAUGGAACCCAUGCCUGCUGCAAUGGAAGCACAGAGUCCUAACCGCUGGACCACCAGGGAAGUCCCUGCUUAUUUUACAAAUAUAGUCAAAACAUUGACAUUACUCCACAUUCAAAAGGAACAUAAGGGUUUACAGUGAACAACUCCCCUUCACCUCUAAUACCUGUCUCUCUUCCUGAAGGCAAUUGCCCUUCCCUGUGUCUUAUAUAUUCUUCUGGAGACAUGGUGCGCUGAUGCUGAACCUAGUUCUUUUUCAUUUAAUUAGUUCUGAACCUAGUUCUUCUUCAUGUAAUGAUAUAUUCUGGAGAUAUUUCAUAUGAGUAUAUAGCAAACUUCUUUCUUAUGGUUUCAUAGUAUUUGAUUGUAUAAUGUAUUUGAAACAGUCUUACAGUGAUGCACUUUUUAGGUCGCUUUUGAUCUUUGCUACUUUUUCUUUUUAGCUGAGCCACAUGGCUUGGGGUAUCAUAGUUCCUUGAUCGGGAAUUGAACCUGGGCCACAGGUGAAAGCCCACAGUCCUAACCUCUAGGCCCCCAGAGAACUCCCUCCAUCUUUGUCUUUAAUGAGCAACCUUAUGCAUGUGUCAUGUACAUGUGUGCAAAUGUAUCUAUUGGAGAAUUUCUAUGUUGGAAUUGUUGGAUCAGAAAAUACAUAGACUUAAAAAUUUGAGAAGUAUUGUGACAUUUUCCUUCAUCAGAUUAGACAAAGAUUUUAGGUGACUUAGCCAAGACUGAAGAGCUAAUUUUUAAUGGAUUUGGAGUUAAAACAAAUGUUUCCUAACCAGAAAAUAGGAGCCAUGAAGAAUGGUACAUCUGGGGGGACACUAAGUUCUUGUCAAAUAUAAUCAAUUUGGGGCGUCUGCAAGAGAAGAGGAAGAAGAUUCACCUUUUGGGCCUACUCCAUCCUUUCUGCUGCCCUCUGGGAACUUGUUCUCUGAACUGGAGGGCCAAGUGAUGAACCGACCUCAGCAAGCCCAGAUGGGUUUACCUCCUGUCGUUCUGGGCCAGUCAGUCUCGUACACAACUGAGAUGUGGACUUGUACCAAAAAGUUGAAGAAAUUAAAGGGCUUUGCCUCAAAAAAUAGAAGGCUAGGAAGAAACAAGGAAUGAGUUUUAAAAGGCCUUCAAAGAUACUGCUCUUCUGCAAGAUGACCCCUCGUGAACAGGCUUUCUUUGUGAGUCACUGUCCGUGGUGCUGACAACAUCCCUGUGGGCUGAGGAGGGGUUGCUUUUCCUUUUCCUGGGGCACUAAAGUGUCUUAAACAAACCCUCCUGGGGAAUUCUGGGCAGGAGAGAAAGGCAAUCAAGGGAAACAAGAGAAGUAGAAAGGAUAAGAGCUAGUUAAGUUGACUGUGAGGUGGGCGGAGAAGGAAGAGGGAUUGGUAUAUGAUUGGAUAUUGUCUACAAAUCAUAGUGAUGGGGAGUGGGAGGAACAUUUGCACAUUGCCUUGGCAUUCCAUUAUUGUAUGCAUAUAUUUCCUGAGGACUUGAAGAAUCAAGUGAGGGUAUAGAAAAUACCUUAGAGAAAAUUAUCAUGUGGAAUUUCUUGAGUGGACAAUUUUAGAAAUAAGAUGGAUUACCAUCUGCCUGAACUGAUUUAACUAUAAUCCUGCCAAGAGAGGGAAUAGACUGAAUAACCUCCGGAGAACCUCACAAUAUUUGAAGUUACAACUUCAGUGAAAACAUUCAUCCUAUUCUUGCUCUUUAUCUCUGAGCUUCAGGGCAGCCUGGAUUUAACCUAAAGUAACAUCACAAGCUAUACUGAUUUUGUCUUAUCUAUAGUCAUUUGCCUUCAAGUGUUGUUUUAAUACUCACGAGAAGUUAAUAACUCUCUCAACCUGUCGGUUCUUUCCUCAGCAGCAUAAAAGUAUAACACAGAACAUGAAUUCAAUAAAUCCAACUCACUCCUUAUUGCUGCACUGAAAU